rnacentral:rRNA from 1 species
UAGGGAAUCUUCCGCAAUGGACGAAAGUCUGACGGAGCAACGCCGCGUGUGUGAAGAAGGAUUUCGGUUUGUAAAACUCUGUUGUUAGGGAAGAAAAAAUGUAUAGUAACUAUAUACAAAAGAGACGGUACCUAACCAGAAAGCCACGGCUAACUACGUGCCAGCAGCCGCGGUAAUACGUAGGUGGCAAGCGUUGUCCGGAAUUAUUGGGCGUAAAGCGCGCGCAGGUGGUUUAGAAAGUCUGAUGUGAAAGCCCACGGCUCAACCGUGGAGGGUCAUUGGAAACUAAUAAACUUGAGUGCAGGAGAGGAAGGUGGAAUUCCUAGUGUAGCGGUGAAAUGCGUAGAGAUUAGGAGGAACACCGGUGGCGAAAGCGGCUUUUUGGCCUGCAACUGACACUGAGGCGCGAAAGCGUGGGGAGCAAACAGG